rnacentral:rRNA from 1 species
GAUGAACGCUGGCGGCGUGCCUAAUACAUGCAAGUCGAGCGAACAGGCGAGGUUCUUGCUCCUCUGACGUUAGCGGCGGACGGGUGAGUAACACGUGGAGAACCUGCCUAUGAGACUGGGAUAACUUCGGGAAACCGGUGCUAAUACCGGAUAAUAUAUUCAACCUCAUGGUUCAAUAGUUAAAGAGGGUUUUGCUGGACCCUAUAGAUAUCUCCGCGUCGCAUUGGUUAGUUGGUACGGUAACGGCUUACCAAGGCAACGAUGGGUGGCCGACCGGACAGGGUGUUCGGCCACAGUGGGACUGAGACACGGUCCAGACUCCUACGGGAGGCAGCAGUAGGGACUCUUCGGCAAUGGGCGAAAGAUUGACGGAGCAACGCCGCGUGAGUGAUGAAGGUCUUCGGAUCGUAAAACUCUGUUAUUAGGGAAGAACAAAUGUGUAAGUAGCUAUGCACGUCUUGACGGUACCUAAUCAGAAAGCAACGGCUAACUACGUG